UCAUGUUCACUGUUAUAUUUGUAUCUCUGUGGCUUUCACUAGGUGACUCCAUGGCAGAUUCAGUAGAGCAACUUUUCACUAAUAAAGUUGUAAAUGAAGGUGAUAAUGUUACUCUGUCCUGCAAAUACAAAAGCAGUGCUUCAGUAAGCUAUAUCCAGUGGUACAGGAAAUAUCCAACAUCUCACCCUGAGUUCCUGCUUUAUAUUGAUACAAGUGGGUAUAAAAGUGACCCGGUCCCACCACGUCUAAAUGUUUAUAUUGAUAAAAAGAUGGAACAAGUGGAUCUGCUCAUAUCCUCUGCUGCUGUAUCAGACUCUGCACUAUACUACUGUGCUCUGCAG